rnacentral:misc_RNA from 1 species
GAUGAAGAACGUAGUGAAAUGCGAUACUUGGUGUGAAUUGCAGAAUCCCGUGAACCAUCGAGUCUUUGAACGCAAGUUGCGCCCGAAGCCAUCAGGUUGAGGGCACGUCUGCCUGGGCGUCAUAUCGUUGCCCAAUGCCUAUUGCAGUGCAAUAGGAAUUUCUAGGGCGAAUGAUGGCUUCCCGUGAGCGUUGUUGCCUCGCGGUUGGUUGAAAAUCGAGUCCUUGGUAGGGUGUGCCAUGGUAGAUGGUGGUCGAGUUAGAACGAUACCGAUCAUGUGCAUGCUCCCCAAAAUAUGGCCUCUAUGACCCACACGCGUCUUUUGACGCUCAUGACGAGACCUCAGGUCAGGCGGGGCUACCCGCUGAAUUUAAGCAUAUCAAUAAGCGGAGGA